AGAUAAUGAAGUAAAUAUACAUUUAGUUUCGACCUAAAUUUAGGAAUUAAUAUUUCCCUUAUCUA
rnacentral:tRNA from 1 species